UACGGGAGGCAGCAGUGGGGAAUAUUGCACAAUGGGCGAAAGCCUGAUGCAGCUAUGCCGCGUGUAUAAAGAAGGCCUUAGGGUUGUAAAGUACUUUCAUCGGGGAGGAAAAAACAAAACUAAUAAUUUUAUUUCUUGACGUUACCCGAAAAAGAAGCACCGGCUAACUCCGUGCCAGCAGCCGCGGUAAUACGGAGGGUGCUAGCGUUAAUCAGAAUUACUGGGCGUAAAGAGCACGUAGGUGGUUUUUUUAAGUCAGAUGUGAAAUCCCUGGGCUUAACCUGGAACUGCAUUUUGAAACUGAAAUACUAGAGUAUCGUAGAGGGAGGUAGAAUUCUAGGUGUAGCGGUGAAAUGCGUAGAUAUCUGGAGGAAUACCUGUGGCGAAAGCGGCCUCCUAAACGAAUACUGACACUGAGGUGCGAAAGCGUGGGGAGCGAAACAGGGAUUAGAUA
rnacentral:rRNA from 1 species